rnacentral:tRNA from 1 species
AGCCCCGUCGUCUAGCGGCCUAGGAUGCCGGGUUUUGGUCCCGGAGACCGGGGUUCGAAUCCCCGCGGGGCUA